rnacentral:rRNA from 1 species
UACGUAGGGUGCGAGCGUUAAUCGGAAUUACUGGGCGUAAAGCGUGCGCAGGCGGUUAUGUAAGACAGUUGUGAAAUCCCCGGGCUCAACCUGGGAAUUGCAUCUGUGACUGCAUAGCUAGAGUACGGUAGAGGGGGAUGGAAUUCCGCGUGUAGCAGUGAAAUGCGUAGAUAUGCGGAGGAACACCGAUGGCGAAGGCAAUCCCCUGGACCUGUGCUGACGCUCAUGCACGAAAGCGUGGGGAGCAAACAGG